CCUACGGGGGGCAGCAGUGGGGAAUAUUGCGCAAUGGGGGCAACCCUGACGCAGUCAUGCCGCGUGAAUGAAGAAGGCCUUCGGGUUGUAAAGUUCUUUCGGUAGCGAGGAAGGCAUUUAGUUUAAUAGACUAGGUGAUUGACGUUAACUACAGAAGAAGCACCGGCUAACUACGUGCCAGCAGCCGCGGUAAUACGGAGGGUGCGAGCGUUAAUCGGAAUAACUGGGCGUAAAGGGCACGCAGGCGGUGACUUAAGUGAGGUGUGAAAGCCCCGGGCUUAACCUGGGAAUUGCAUUUCAUACUGGGUAGCUAGAGUACUGUAGGGAGGGGUAGAAUUCCACGUGUAGCGGUGAAAUGCGUAGAGAUGUGGAGGAAUACCGAAGGCGAAGGCAGCCCUUUGGGAAGGUACUGACGCUCAUGUGCGAAAGCGUGGGGAGCAAACAGGAUUAGAUACCCGGGUAGUC
rnacentral:rRNA from 1 species